rnacentral:lncRNA from 1 species
AUUCCUUCUCUUCAAGUCUCACAUUGUGCAUGUCUAAGACACGAUGAUGGAUUCCUAUUGGAGCUCUAAUAGGAUCAUGUGUAACACAUUAACAGGUACCACUGUCAACUCUAUUUUUUUUCUUUCAAAAAGGAGGAUAACUCCUACCCUUUGCAUCGACUGAUGCACACAACCAUAUAUUAUUAAAGCCAGGCAAAGAUAUACAGCAAAGCCGAACAAUGUCGACCAAAAAAGAAAAAUAGUAAUUUCACCAAACUACCACUAACCCUAUGGCACAUGUGAAAACAAAAGAAAAGAAAACAACUACUAGGCAAAUCCUUCAAGAAGGGACGCCAUACGUUCGCCGAUGAUGACGAAUCCACCUUAGAUCGAACUAGGGAUUUUCAUCCCCACAGCCAAGCUUCGAGCCACCAUUUUCAACGGGGACACUGGAGUGUGCAGACUUGCCGUCAAUAGCAACAGGCAUGUCUUGGCGCCUCACCGUGAGUUGCUGAGUGUAGCACCUGCUCCUGUUGUAAGAGUCCUCACCCGAAAUGAAUGCAAACAAAUAUGUUGCCAUCCUCAAACCUAGAUUAGCCGUCGUAGCCUGACGAGACAUGGAGUACAAUCGGCAUACCCGCUGAAGCACGACGCUGCCACCAUGGCAAAUGUAGGCAGUUGCAGAUAAUUUGCACAUUCCUACAAUAAAUAAGACACACAAUAAUUUGCAUUUGUUCAGACCC